ACGAAAAAUAACGAUACGGGACUCAUCCGAGGCCCCGUAAUCGGAAUGAGUACACUCUAAACCCUUUAACGAGGAUCAAUUGGAGGGCAAGUCUGGUGCCAGCAGCCGCGGUAAUUCCAGCUCCAAUAGCGUAUAUUAAAGUUGUUGCGGUUAAAAAGCUCGUAGUCGAAUUUGUGUCCCACGCCGCUGGUUCAUCGCUCGCGGUGUCAACUGGCGUGUCCGCGGGACGUCCUGCCGGUGGGCUUAGCCUCUCGGGGCGGCCCAAUCUCAAUCCCACCGCGGUGCCCUUCACUGAGUGUCGAGGUGGGCCGGCACGUUUACUUUGAACAAAUUAGAGUGCUUAAAGCAGGCUAAAACUUCGCCUGAAUACUGUGUGCAUGGAAUAAUGGAAUAGGACCUCGGUUCUAUUUUGUUGGUUUUCGGAACCCCGAGGUAAUGAUUAAUAGGAACGGAUGGGGGCAUUCGUAUUGCGACGUUAGAGGUGAAAUUCUUGGAUCGUCGCAAGACGGACAGAAGCGAAAGCAUUUGCCAAAAACGUUUUCAUUGAUCAAGAACGAAAGUUAGAGGUUCGAAGGCGAUCAGAUACCGCCCUAGUUCUAACCAUAAACGAUGCCAGCUAGCGAUCCGCCGACGUUCCUCCGAUGACUCGGCGGGCAGCUUCCGGGAAACCAAAGCUUUUGGGUUCCGGGGGAAGUAUGGUUGCAAAGCUGAAACUUAAAGGAAUUGACGGAAGGGCACCACCAGGAGUGGAGCCUGCGGCUUAAUUUGACUCAACACGGGAAACCUCACCAGGCCCGGACACCGGAAGGAUUGACAGAUUGAUAGC
rnacentral:rRNA from 1 species